rnacentral:rRNA from 1 species
UACGAAGGGGGCAAGCGUUGUUCGGAAUUACUGGGCGUAAAGGGCGCGUAGGCGGCCGAUCAAGUCAGGCGUGAAAUUCCCGGGCUCAACCUGGGGGCUGCGCUUGAUACUGAUUGGCUUGAAUGCGGGAGAGGAUAGUGGAAUUCCCAGUGUAGAGGUGAAAUUCGUAGAUAUUGGGAAGAACACCGGUGGCGAAGGCGGCUAUCUGGCCCGUAAGUUGACGCUGAGGCGCGAAAGCGUGGGGAGCAAACAGGG